UACAUUCGUACAUAUGUUUACAUUUGUGUUUACUGAGCUAUUGGUGCAAAUGGAACAUUUAUUCACGACAAUUUAUUGUGGCUGUAUCAUUGCUAGACCGUGGUGAAUCAUACAAAGCUCUGGUUCGACUCGCUGCUUAUCGAAAAGACGUACAAAGGUCCACAAGAAUUGGCAAUAAUUUUAUCUGGUUGUGAUUUAUAUACUUACUGCUGCAUUGAAGCUGCUUACUGGCUUCAGAUUAUCACCUCUUCCCAUAUGGGUACGCUGCAUUACCAAGGAAAGCGCCAAUGAAGCAUGAGCGUGGUCACAAGAAAAUGAAAUGGCUGAUUUGCCUCAUCGCAAUAAAGCAACCAAUAUGGACCGGUCACUGUUACAAAAAUUUAUUUAUGAUUAUGAGUUAGAAAAUUCUACUAGCGUACGUAAAUAUGUAUAUGGCAAACGAGCUGCUAAGUCUCAACGCUUUUAUACCGCAAUGGCUAUAUAAUGACUAAAACUUAUGAAAUUUGCUAUAAAAACGUUUGACAUAAUUUAUUAAAAACAUGCAUACCAACAGUUGGCGAAUCGUCCAGAGUUAUUGUAUUUGUUCGUCAAACAUAAUCCCUUAAUUGAAGCUACCGAGUUACCACAUGCAUCGUUGGAAGCUAGAAGCGAAUAUUUCAGUUUUAAACAUACAAUUGCGAUUAUAAAACAAGAAAUUUUGUCUGCCAAGAAAUACAUUAGAUCUUUUGAUGCAUGGAUUGAAAUUGAAUGCUAAUUUAGAUAUCGAGUAUGAGCAGGAGCUCACAGAUUUAGAGGACGACAUACUGACCUAUAUCGAUACCACACAGCGCACAGCAAAGGAUAAAAUCAAAA